rnacentral:lncRNA from 1 species
CGAACCUACGACCUUUGGAAUACUAGGUUCGAAUCCCACCGUGGCCGGGCAUAUUUUUCAAGCUCGCCCGGUGUGGAUAUGCACUCAGAGUAACAUCACAAACAUAUUAUUCACCUGAGUACACAACGCCAGCACAGAAAAAAAUUCAUAUUACAAGAACACAUUGGUAUUGAAGGAACUAGAUGCUGUUCCGAAAUAUCACUUACUCGAACCGUCCUGACCGCGUAGCUCAGUUGGAAGAGCAUUGGGCUAGUAUUCCAAGGUCGUAGGUUCAAAUCCCACCGUGGCCGGGCAUAUUUUUCAAGCUCGCCCGGUGUGGAUAUGCACUCAGAGUAACAUCACAAACAAAUUAGAUUGGGUAAGAAUGACAUUCUCGUAAGUUUUGACGUAGCUUGUUCACUAAUGUUCCAGUUGAAGAGGCUUGUAAUAUCGCGAAAGAAAGACUUCUUUCAGAUAUUACUUUACUUCAAAGAACUAAUCUUUCUCCUGAAAAUGUAUAUGAUUUAUUGAAACUAUGUUUGACCACGAAAUGUUUUCAAUGGCGGGAGAAAUUCUAUGAACAAACAAGUCCAUUGUCGCCUGUUAUGGCUAAUUUGUUCAUGGAGGAAUUUGAAAAGAAGGCCUUAGCUACUGCAACGUUGAAACCUGGUUUCUGGUUCAGAUACGUGGAUGAUACAUUGAGUAGCUGGUCUCAUGGACUAGAUAAUUUACAAAAGUU